rnacentral:rRNA from 1 species
UGGGGAAUAUUGGACAAUGGGGGCAACCCUGAUCCAGCCAUGCCGCGUGCGUGAAGAAGGCCUUAGGGUUGUAAAGCGCUUUCAGCGGGGACGAUGAUGACGGUACCCGCAGAAGAAGCCCCGGCUAACUCCGUGCCAGCAGCCGCGGUAAUACGGAGGGGGCAAGCGUUGUUCGGAAUUACUGGGCGUAAAGGGCGCGUAGGCGGCACAUCAAGUCAGAGGUGAAAGCCCCGGGCUCAACCUGGGAAUUGCCUUUGAAACUGAUGAGCUAGAGUAUGGUAGAGGGAAGUGGAAUUUCCGGUGUAGCGGUGAAAUGCGUAGAUAUCGGAAGGAACACCAGUGGCGAAGGCGACUUCCUGGGCCAAUACUGACGCUGAGGUGCGAAAGCGUGGGGAGCAAACAGGAUUAGAUACCCCUGUAGUCC